AACCUGAGAUUCCGAGCCCAGGCAUAUAAGAUGCAAGACUGAGAGUCCACAGUGCUAUAACAUUGAAAUUAAAAGUCAGUGGUACCCGGUUCAAAAGAGCUGACUCCAAGAUCCCAGAUACUCAUAUCCUCAAGACUCUAUAAAUCUCUGAUUCUGAAACGUGAAGGUGCCACAGAGCCUGUGAUGCAGUGAUUCCAGACCAUCUGGGUUUCACUCUAGGAAGGCUUCUUGAAGGAGCAAACAUCUGUCCUUCUCCUGCCCAGAGCUGCCAGGUCACAAGGACAGAACCAAGACUCUUGAUACCUCUCUAAGUAGCAGGAGGGACAGCUGGGGCUGGGGGCUGGGGGGUUGUAGGGCACUAGAGUUUCUGGCCCCAGGCUAGAUUAAGGCGAAGGCUCUGCUGGAUUGGGAUAUGAACCUGGAAUUUGAUGGGAAAUGCUAAGCCCUCUCUGCCUCCGGAGUUGUCCUCCCACCCUAUUCAGCCUACCCAGGCCCCGGGAAAUCCAGCCUCUUCUCCAGGCUCCUAAAUGAUGAGGUUGAGCCUUCACCCCUCCCCACCGCCGCCUCUGCUUGCAGAUUCCCAGCGGCAUCGGGUCACAGAUGAGGAGGUCCAGCAAAGCAGGUUCCAGAUGCCACCCUUGGAGGAAGGUGAGUCAGGAUGGGGAGGGGUGUGAAUGGCAGUCCCACUUCCAGAGAGUAACUCAGCUCAGCUUGAGACCUUCCAGCAGGAACCUCCCUCAAUGAGUCUUUCCUGACUUUCACAAAUCCUAUAGGCAGUAAGUGCUUUCUGAAGUCUGACUUAAAGCCCUCUUGCUGCGCUGCUUCUUUCAUCACCAUUCUCCCUUUCCUGCCUUAGGACUUGAAGAGUUGCAUGCCUCCCACAUCCCAACUGCCAACCCUGGACACUGCAUUACAGACCCGCCAUCCCUGGGCCCUCAGUAUCACCCGAGGAGCAACAGUGAGUCGAGCACCUCUUCGGGGGAGGAUUACUGCAAUAGUCCCAAAAGCAAGCCGCCUCCAUGGAACCCCCAGGUGUUUUCUUCAGAGAGGAGUUCCUUCCUGGAGCAGCCCCCAAACUUGGAGCUGGCCGGCACCCAGCCAGCCUUUUCAGCAGGGCCCCCGGCUGAUGACAGCUCCAGCACCUCAUCCGGGGAGUGGUACCAGAACUUCCAGCCACCACCCCAGCCCCCUUCGGAGGAGCAGUUUGGCUGUCCAGGUGCCAAUGUCUGGGGAAGGGAUGUGGGAGGGGGACAGAGAGGGACUGGGGAGUAAAUGAGUGGGGAACUAUUGGAUGCAUUCGCUCAAGGGGAAAAGGAGAAAGGAAGGGUAAAAGAAGAGAGGGAAAGUCACUUUUUAAAAAACAAAGCAAGGCCAGGCAUGGUAGCUCAAGCCUGUAAUCCCAGCACAAGGCAGGAGGAUUGCUUGAGGCCAGGAAUUUACGACUAGCCCCGGGAACAUAGUAAGACCAGUCUCUACAAAACUAAAAACUAAAUAUUAGCCGAGGGUAGUAGCACGUGCCUAUAGUCCCAGCUCCUCAGGAGGCUGAGGUGGGAGGAUCGUGUGAGCCCAGGAGAUCCAGGCUGCAGUGAGCUAUGAUCGUAUCACUGUGGAUCAUGCCCCUGCAGGGUCAGAGCAAGACCCUCUUUCUACAAGAAAACAAACACAAGCACAACAAGAAUAUGAAGAGGUGGGGAAAAUGGAUGUGGACGGGAUGGAGAAAUAAACAGGUUGCUUUGAUAAGAAGUGAGCUCCCUGUUAGUGGAGGCAUUCAAGCAGAAGCAGCUGGUUGGCUCCUUGGGGGAGACUGUGGUAGCAGAGGGGCUCCCAGCAUUCAGUCGUCCACCGUGUCGUGCAGUGUGCCAUUGUGGAGACCAUAGCCCUGAACCAGACAGACGAGCACUGUCCUCAGUGCUGAUGUUCCAGCCAGGGACACGGCCGGAAGCAAGAUGAUCAGAUGGCUUCAUGCAGCAUCCCAUGGGGAUAGUGAUGUGGAGCCAGAACCACUCAGCUCCGUCCCGUGGGGCAGCAGGGGCAAUGACUGGGUCUCCCACUAAUCUGGGCCUCUCUGCCCACAGGGUCCCCCAGCCCUCAGCCUGACUCCACCGACAACGAUGACUACGAUGACAUAGGCGCAGCCUAGGCCGGGGCCAGCCGAGGCUCCUGGGGUGCCUCUGACCCUCUGGCUUCCUGCUCUACCUACUCCCUUUCCCCUUCCCCACCCUCUCAGCUCACCUCCCCAUGGAGCUGAGAGGCCUCCCUUGGAUAGAUGGAAGGAAACGUUACACCUUGUACCCCUCGGUCUCCAUCCAUCAAGCCAAACCUGCUGCCACAGCCCUCCCCCGGCCCCAGAUAGCAGCCCCAGGGAGGAUGCUGCCUCCAAGAGGUGUGAGCCCUCUGUCUCAGGGAUGAACAAGCAGAGUCUGGGCUACCUCUCGACAGCUGGUGGAGGGGAGUUGAGGAGCUGGACUGGAUGACUCUGGAGGCCCCUUCCAAACCUCAAGUGUCCGGCGCUUUGAUUGCCUGAGUUUCUGACACUUCAGGGCCCAGAGGUCCUGCGAGGGGCAGAACUGGACCCCCAUGCCAGUGCUGCUGCAGGAGGGCCCACAUACUAGGGUCUGCUGAGCUGUUGUCACUGAUCGGUGGGCGCUGGGGGGAUGGGGUAACACACCAGCUGUCCCAGGCUUUGCUCCGGGCGGUAACUGCACUUGGGCAGGGAAUAUAGCCUUCCUGGGCACAACUAGCUGACAAUGACAGGUUGACUGUGUACCCCCAACCAAGGAGCUGGGGCCCAAGGCCAGUCCUGCCCCAGAGACACUCCAAGUCCGCCAGGGGCACAGACCAGUUCUGCAGUGACUGUCCCUGGACAAUGGGUCUUUAUUCUGAGCUUCCUAUGGUUUACAAAGAGGGCCCCAGCCCAGCCCCACCACAGAUCCCAGAGAUAGGGGCCCAGUCUCCAUGGGGGCAGGAGCAUAGAGAUGUUUUCCAGGAAGGGGCUCAGAAGCUGCACUAGGCCCCGAGUUCCCAUGUGUCUCCUUGAAUUGAUGAGGAUGCUCCUGGGAGGGAUGCAUGACUAUGCGGUGUUGCACCCGGGGCUGCAAACGUCUCCGUGCAGCCCCCAGAGAGAGGCCCACGGGCUCAGACCAGGCUUUGUUGUCCUGCUCUGAGUAUCCUGAGAUUAAACUGAAUUGCUGAAUG
rnacentral:sRNA from 1 species